rnacentral:rRNA from 1 species
AUUGAACGCUGGCGGCAUGCCUUACACAUGCAAGUCGAACGGCAGCGCGGGGCAACCUGGCGGCGAGUGGCGAACGGGUGAGUAAUAUAUCGGAACGUGCCCUGGAGUGGGGAUAACGUAGCGAAGUUACGCUAAUACCGCAUACGAUCCAAGGAUGAAAGCAGGGGACCUUCGGGCCUUGUGCUCCUGGAGCGGCCGAUAUCUGAUUAGCUAGUUGGUGGGGUAAAAGCCUACCAAGGCGACGAUCAGUAGCUGGUCUGAGAGGACGACCAGCCACACUGGAACUGAGACACGGUCCAGACUCCUACGGGAGGCAGCAGCGGGGGAAUUUUGGACAAUGGGGGGCGAACCCUGAUCCAGCAAUGCCGCGUGUGUGAAGAAGGCCUCGGUUGUAAGCACUUUGUUCAGGAACG